CUGAUUAAUGUGUGUACUGAAUAUUAAAGUUUCACAGUAUCAUUGUACAGGUAUAAAUUUGUUAAGUUCGUUAUUGAAGCAGCACGCAGACGGCGUCAUCACAUGAUAGCUGAUAGCCUACUUUUCUAAGCACAGGCACCUGCACAUCAGAAGCAUUCAAAAUUGUCAAACUUUACAGCGACGUACCUCCCAGAAGACUGAGUCAUCGAAGCAGUUUUGAUCAGGUGGCUGCCCCAGGAAUGGAAUCUUCAUUAUCAGGCCUGGAGAAGGGAAAAAUCUUUUACUUUGUGUUUUGUACAGUUUUGUGUAUAUUGUGAUAUAUAACAGAGUAAUGCUAAUUGGUUGAAUGAGAAAUAAGUGUGUCCAAAAAUAGUUUAAAAUCCAUGUGACAAGUUUUUACAUAUAGGUUCUUUUUGAAUUCACGUUGGUUUCACACGGUUGUGAAAAAUCUUAAUACAUGUUUCUAUUUACAUUGCUACAUAAUAUCAUGUUGUGUGUGUAUGUGUACGUGUACAGUAUGUACAAUGCGUGUCAAAUAUUUCAUGUUUGGAUUCAUGUUCUUCAAAGAAAACUGUACAUAUAUUAAUUGUAUGCACGAAAGGCAUUUUCCUUUAAAUGUAUUAAUUUAUACAAAACCCUUUUAUAUUUUGCAAUAUCUUGCAGAUUUUAUGGUCCUUGUAUUAACACCUACCUGUGACCAACCC